CGCCCCCAUGGUGGGUGCUGGCGAACGAAGUCGCGGCGCGGGAGUGGCUGUGAGCCCCACCCAUCGGGUCACGUAGUAAGACUGCCGCACCUUUCCAGGUGUUACUGCCCUGUCUCCAAACCUCCUGGAAGACGGCCCGCACAUAGCGGGUGCUCCGGAGAUAUUUAAACAGAUUAGGAGAGACCUUUGUGCUGAAGGAAAGGACUGUCAUCCUUGUCAACACCCCGUUGUUACGACCUCUGCCGAAGGAGGAGAUUCUGAUCUCAACAGCUGCUCUGCAGGUUGCCAAGAAGACCAGGCCAGACCCCUGCCCCACGUCUCUCUGGACCCACGACCCACCAGGGCCUGGGCCUGCAGUUAGCCCUUGGGGUACAUUCCAGAAGCCAGCCCUGGGCUGAGGGCACUGACAUCAAAGGGUGCAGAGCCCAGAAGUGGGAUGCAGGAGUUCUGGGUGACACUUACGGCUGAAGGCCUCCGGGUGCUGUCUGGCCAGCUUCCCUUUCAGUGUCCUGUUGGGGAAGGGAAGGCACACAGGGCUGAGCCUGCUGAGGAGACAGGCUGGGCCUGGUGCAGGCCAGGGCCCCCCUGCUCACUGCUCCAGGCUGGAGGGGCUGGGCGCUCAGCCUGCCCUCCGACCCCCAUGAUGGGUCGCAGCUACUGUUCUGCUGUCACCCAGCUUCCCCGCGGCCUUAGUGCUGGGUCCGGCCCCCACCUGUAAUGCCUCAUGUCUCACCCUCUUCUACCAGGACCACCUUCCAGGAGGCUCCCCUUCCCCUCACCUCAACAGCCACUCCUCUGGGGACUUGUCCCAGCCUGUCUUUCCAUCCUGGGGUGAGGAUGUCUGUACAGGGGCCAGGAGGGCCUGCCUGUCCACCGGGGCUCAUUAAACUGAAGUUCACAGAGAGG